UACGUAGGGGGCUAGCGUUGUCCGGAAUCAUUGGGCGUAAAGAGCGUGUAGGCGGCCCGGUAAGUCCGCUGUGAAAGUCGGGGGGCUCAACCCUCGAAUGCCGGUGGAUACUGUCGGGCUAGAGUGCGGAAGAGGCGAGUGGAAUUCCUGGUGUAGCGGUGAAAUGCGCAGAUAUCAGGAGGAACACCAAUUGCGAAGGCAGCUCGCUGGGACGUAACUGACGCUGAGAACGCGAAAGCGUGGGGGAGCAAACAGG
rnacentral:rRNA from 1 species